UACGAAGGGUGCUAGCGUUGUUCGGAAUUACUGGGCGUAAAGCGUACGUAGGCGGCUUAGUAAGUCGAUUGUGAAAGCCCCAAGCUUAACUUGGGAAUUGCAACCGAAACUGCUUUGCUUGAGUUUAGUGGGGGAUGGUGGAAUUCUUAGUGUAGGGGUGAAAUCCGUAGAUAUUAAGAGGAAUACCGGUGGCGAAGGCGACCAUCUACGCUAAUACUGACGCUAAGGUACGAAAGCGUGGGGAGCAAACAGG
rnacentral:rRNA from 1 species